rnacentral:rRNA from 1 species
AUUGAACGCUGGCGGCAGGCUUAACACAUGCAAGUCGAGCGGGGUGGGGUGCUUCGGUACUGAUCCUAGCGGCGGACGGGUGAGUAGUGCUUGGGAAUCUGCCAUUUAGUGGGGGACAACAUUCCGAAAGGAAUGCUAAUACCGCAUACGUCCUACGGGAGAAAGCAGGGGAUCUUCGGCCCUUGCGCUAAAUGAUGAGCCUAAGUCGGAUUAGCUAGUUGGUGGGGUAAAGGCCUACCAAGGCGACGAUCUGUAGCGGGUCUGGGAGGAUGAUCCGCCACACUGGGACUGAGACACGGCCCAGACUCCUACGGGAGGCAGCAGUGGGAAAUAUUGGACAAUGGGCGGAAGCCUGAUCCAGCCAUGCCGCGUGUGUGAAGAAGGCCUUUUGGUUGUAAAGCACUUUAAGCGAGGAGGAGGCUACCUGGAUUAAUACUCUGGGAUAGUGGACGUUACUCGCAGAAUAAGCACCGGCUAACUCUGUGUCAGCAGCCGCCGUAACAC